AAAAAAAAGAAACUAAAGAGAAUCAGUGAAGAGAUGUCAAAUCAGUUUCGUGGGAUCUGAGAGAGAGAGAGAGAGAGAGAGAGAGAGAGAGAGAGAAGAAGAAGAGAGAAACAAACCUCUCUCUCUUUAGGGUUUUCAAUCAAAAUCCGAAUGGCAGCACAUCGUCACCAAUUGUUCACCUACGCCCUCCAACCUUCUCUCGCCGCCGCCUCCACCGCUUCCCCCGCUCCCCCUCCUCCGCAACCGCAACCGCAGCAAAACCUCUCCCUUUCUUCUCUCUACGCCUCCUCCGCCGAGCUAAGGGUUAUGGAAGUGGUGAUCAUCAUAACUCGGUUAAGCAUGAUGCUCAGGUUGCUUGUGCUGCUGGUCCUGCCACACCCACUGAUGAUACGGCUUAUGUAGACUUCGAAUACUUUUAGAACUAAUACAAGUAAUAUACUCUACUAUGUGUUUUUUUUUUGUUCAUAUUCUUUUUGAUGGAUACAGAUUGUGAUUUGUAAAGUGGAAGACAAAGAAGUGUAGCUUUAAACAGAGUUUGAGAAUAACAUUUGAACCUUUCGUUUAGCUCAAAUUUUACAAAGCUUAUGUUUUUAAUAAAGUAUCCAAAAUCCUUUCAUCAAAUGUUUCUUAACCGAGUAAUCACUAGCUUUUGAAUAACAUCAGAUUUGAUGGUUUCAUUAUGGUCUAUGUUACUUACAAAGUAUCCAAAAUCCUUCAACACAUUCUUCUGUAAGGUUCUCUUAUCUUUUACUGUUAAGUUGUGGUUUGUCUACUUCUCUGACAGUUUUUGCUUGUUAUCUUUAAUUGGUUUUGAAAGGUGCUUAGCUUGGAACCUUUCUCUUCUGAGUUACCCCAAAAAUGUUUCCAAGUUAAUAUGGUUUUAGGCUCCAAGGGAUUUACUUAUGGUUUAUGGUGCCCUUAUCAUGUAUGAUGCUUAGGUUCAUCUGCUCCUCUAUGCCAAAACUCGAACUUUCUUUCUCUCGUUUAUCUAUAGAAGUUAGUAAGCAUGCGAAGGUGUUGAACAAAACAAACCAAUGCUCAAAAGAGUUGAAGAGAUGAGUUUAAAGGGCAACAAACGCUAAAGCUUUUGCAAUAUCAGACAAGACAUAGUGAAGUUGAAGUCUCUGUUCGGUCUCUUUUGUUAACUUGGGUGUUUUAUUAUUAUGUAAUAAAACAAAAAAAGCUCCAAACUUUAUAAAUCUAUUAAUUGAUGAUGAUAAGAAAUAAAGAGUAAUUUAAUUUAAUAAAAAAAAAGAAACUAAAGAGAAUCAGUGAAGAGAUGUCAAAUCAGUUUCGUGGGAUCUGAGAGAGAGAGAGAGAGAGAGAGAGAGAGAGAGAGAGAAGAAGAAGAGAGAAACAAACCUCUCUCUCUUUAGGGUUUUCAAUCAAAAUCCGAAUGGCAGCACAUCGUCACCAAUUGUUCACCUACGCCCUCCAACCUUCUCUCGCCGCCGCCUCCACCGCUUCCCCCGCUCCCCCUCCUCCGCAACCGCAACCGCAGCAAAACCUCUCCCUUUCUUCUCUCUACGCCUCCUCCGCCGCCGACCGCUACUACCCCGACGCCACGUUCCGCUUCUUAUCUCGCGACGGAUCCGAAUCUUUGACCAACAACUACCAACCAACGGUUGCUUCUUCCUCCUCUUCCUCAGCCAUGUACCACCACCAUCUCCCCA
rnacentral:lncRNA from 1 species